AAAUGUUAUAUGGGCCAUCCACGUGUCAUGCAUUUACUUCACCUCUCAUCCAUCAGUGCACAGUGCACAGAAUUAUGGGAGGAAGGAAUUCAAAAAACUCGAACCCUAAGCACUUUUUGUUCGUCUUCUCCAGGCCUGAGUGCCAGGAGAGGGGGAAGACGCCAAGCUCACCCAAAAGAAGCAAAGCUGACUUCUCCAAAUGGCUUCAGGUGAAAGAGAAGUUCUUGGCUAUUGCUUUUGCCAGUGAUAAAGAAAAAUGGGAUAAAGGUUGUGAAACACCCUGCCACCAUAGGAUUCUCCUAUACUGGGCACGGAGAUCACCACGUGCCAAUGAACUGACCUGGCAACUGAACUGUGACAUAGAUAUUGCCUCAUACUCUUCCUGGAGGACAAGCCAAUAGAAUUGGUGGAGGCUCUGUAGAUGAAUUAAAGCAGUCUCAAGCUGCACUAUUUUCCUGACAGCUUUUCCAAGUGCUUUGAAGGGAGUAAGGCACAUUUCCUUGCCCUUUCCUGCCUCCCCCUCAGCUGCAGAUCUUCCAGCCCAUGGCUAGGACUCUGUUGCAUGGUCUAUGGCAGCAAGGCACACUUAUCAGAGACACUUGUGUGGGCAACCCUUGUGGAGGAGGGAAGGAGGAGAAGUGGAGGAAACCCUUCACGCAGAUGGUAAGAUCCAGACUAUCCGGCUUUCCUUUAUGGCUCUUUGACCUUAAUGAAGUUAUUCCUUAUUUAUGUGGCAUUAGAUCAAAAUCUGGCUCGAAGGCUUCCGUUUAGAUGAAUGGACUUCAGCGCAUAUCUGAAAUUCCUUUUCAUUUUGUUUUUAAGUUGUAGCCUGGGGAAAAACUGAAACAUCACCAAAACAAGCUAAAAAUAGGAAGUGAUCCUAGGCAGAGACCAUUUAUGUUACAUUUGUAAGGCUGAUACAGCUACUGAAAAUAGGGUGUCA
rnacentral:lncRNA from 1 species